GCGGGGGUUCCGGAAGGGGCGGGCAGAGGGUCACCAUCGGCAGCUGGGAUGGAACCGUGACCAGUGAUUGGAACUCCCUGGCAUGGAAUUGAGCUGGGCCGAGUUGAGGAAACUGUAAGGUUGCCAUCACGAAAGCCAAAGUGGAUUUCUCCGGUGUCCUGUGCCUGCCCCCUUCCGUCAUUCCUGGAAAUGGGCUGGACGGAGGAGGGGCUGGCGAAACCGAGGAUGAGACUAUACUGGUAUCUCUUUCGGCG